AUUGAACGCUGGCGGCAGGCCUAACACAUGCAAGUCGAACGGUAACAGGAAGCAGCUUGCUGCUUCGCUGACGAGUGGCGGACGGGUGAGUAAUGUCUGGGAAACUGCCUGAUGGAGGGGGAUAACUACUGGAAACGGUAGCUAAUACCGCAUAACGUCGCAAGACCAAAGAGGGGGACCUUAGGGCCUCUUGCCAUCGGAUGUGCCCAGAUGGGAUAGCUAGUAGGUGGGGUAACGGCUCACCUAGGCGACGAUCCCUAGCUGGUCUGAGAGGAUGACCAGCCACACUGGAACUGAGACACGGUCCAGACUCCUACGGGAGGCAGCAGUGGGGAAUAUUGCACAAUGGGCGCAAGCCUGAUGCAGCCAUGCCGCGUGUAUGAAGAAGGCCUUCGGGUUGUAAAGUACUUUCAGCGGGGAGGAAGGGAGUAAAGUUAAUACCUUUGCUCAUUGACGUUACCCGCAGAAGAAGCACCGGCUAACUCCGUG
rnacentral:rRNA from 1 species